CACUGGGCGUAAGCGCGCGCAGGCGGCCUUUUAAGUUGGAUGUGAAAGCCUAUGGCUCAACCAUAGAACUGCAUCCAAAACUAUCAGGCUAGAGUGUGGGAGAGGAAGAUUGAAUUAGUUGUGUAGGGGUAAAAUCCGUAGAGAUAACUAGGAAUACCAAAAGCGAAGGCAAUCUUCUGGAACAUUACUGACGCUGAGGCGCGAAAGCGUGGGGAGCAAACAGGAUUAGAUACCCUGGUAGUCCACGCCCUAAACGAUGAAUGUUAGUCGUCGGGUAGCUAGUCUAUUCGGUGAUGCAGCUAACGCAUUAAACAUUCCGCCUGGGGAGUACGGUCGCAAGAUUAAAACUCAAAGGAAUAGACGGGGACCCGCACAAGUGGUGGAGCAUGUGGUUUAAUUCGAAGAUACGCGAAGAACCUUACCUAGCCUUGACAUAUUUUAGAACACUUUAGAGAUAGAGUGGUGCCUUCGGGAGCUAAUAUACAGGUGCUGCACGGCUGUCGUCAGCUCGUGUCGUGAGAUGUUGGGUUAAGUCCCGCAACGAGCGCAACCCUCGUCACUAGUUACUAACGGUUCGGCCGAGGACUCUAGUGAGACUGCCUUCGCAAGGAGGAGGAAGGUGAGGACGACGUCAAGUCAUCAUGGCCCUUACGGCUAGGGCAACACACGUGCUACAAUGGCCAGGACAAUGAGAAGCGAUACCGCGAGGUGGAGCAAAUCUAUAAACCUGGUCUCAGUUCGGAUUGUAGUCUGCAACUCGACUACAUGAAGCUGGAAUCACUAGUAAUCGUAGAUCAGCUAUGCUACGGUGAAUACG
rnacentral:rRNA from 1 species